rnacentral:rRNA from 1 species
GAUGAACGCUGGCGGCGUGCCUAAUACAUGCAAGUCGAGCGAACAGAUGAGGAGCUUGCUCCUCUGACGUUAGCGGCGGACGGGUGAGUAACACGUGGAUAACCUACCUAUAAGACUGGGAUAACUUCGGGAAACCGGAGCUAAUACCGGAUAAUAUAUUGAACCGCAUGGUUCAAUAGUGAAAGACGGUUUUGCUGUCACUUAUAGAUGGAUCCGCGCCGCAUUAGCUAGUUGGUAAGGUAACGGCUUACCAAGGCAACGAUGCGUAGCCGACCUGAGAGGGUGAUCGGCCACACUGGAACUGAGACACGGUCCAGACUCCUACGGGAGGCCGCAGUAGGGAAUCUUCCGCAAUGGGCGAAAGCCUGACGGAGCAACGCCGCGUGAGUGAUGAAGGUCUUCGGAUCGUAAAACUCUGUUAUUAGGGAAGAACAAAUGUGUAAGUAACUAUGCAUGUCUUGACGGUACCUAAUCAGAAAGCCCCGGCUAACUACGUG